AUGACCAUGACCGUGCCCAUAACCAAAGCCCCCACCAUUUCCACCAAAUCCACCUUGGUUGCCACCUCCACCGAAACCACCCUGAUUCCCUGCGCCGCCACCAAAACCGCCGUGACUUCCGCCAUUGCCACCAAAGCUGCCAUGAUUUCCACUAUUGCCGCCAAAGCUACCAUGGCCUCCGGCACUUCCUCCGAAGCUUCCAUGACUUCCAGCGCCUCCUCCGAAGCCUCCAUGACUUCCAGCACCUCCUCCGAAGCUCCCAUGACCUCCAACUUGAUUGCCACCACCGGUGCCUCCCCCGUAGCUCCCACCACUCUCUCCGCCGAGACCGCUAGCACUGGAGCUACUGCUUCCACCGAGUGAAUUAGUUUCUAGAUUCCCGGCACCUUCACCGCCUCCGCCGGUUCCAUAACUGGAACCUGAAUUACCGAAAUGGGUACUCGAGGCUCCGAAAUUGGAACUUGAUCCACCGAAAUUGGCACUAGAUCCACCAAAAUUUGAAUUCGACCCGGCGAGACCAGAACCGGACCCGUAACCGGAGCCACUCGAGCCGCCAGACCCAACCGUGUGCGGGUAUAAGCUACUGCCAAAAGAGCCUCCACCAUUCGAGUUGGACCCCCCGCUUGAGCCGGCAUACGAUCCCGAACCGGAGCUGAAGAAUUUAUUCGGUUUAUGGCUAGGCCGAAGGUUACUAACAAGGCUGCUGAAGGAUGGCCGGGGCCUGGAAAGCCCCGGUCGUCCUCCCAGGCUCGUGAAUGCGUUAUUUCCGUUGUUAUGUAGGUUCCCAAAUGCAUUGGAUGUCCACGCGCCGAUAGGUCCUCUUCUGGGAGAAUCCUUGAGAAGCUGCGAGUGGGCUUUAGCAGGUGCUUUAACUGGUAUCGGGAACUUGGCCCCUGUGUUAGCUGGCUUUUUGGAGGAAGAAAGGUAUUUUGAUGAGCUAGACUUUGUUUGAGGUGUAGCAGCAAGGCAAGUGGCCAUCGAGAGUGCCACCACCACCGUUAUCUGUUCAACAAACAAGACAUGCUAUAAUAAAUUGGGAAAAAGUUUACACUUAGUUUACAAAUAAGGAAAAGUUCGAUAAUUCCAAAAACGAUGGCAAUAAGGUUUCCGUUAAAGCUUGAGGCAAGGUAGCAGAGACAUUGGACCCAGGAGAGUACCUAUUCGUAGGGGCUCCGUGAAGUAGGUGUGCCAACAUUUAGAACAAAUUUAAGUAGGUACAACAAAAAAAAGUAGAAAUUUAAACAUUCUGAUAAAUGAUUCCUCUUGAAAACUUCACGAAAAAAAAAAAAAAAAACACGGAUCGCGCAACGAAUAUUACCUACUGAAAUUAACUCAUAACCAGAUAUUAAUGUUUUCAUUUGGCAAAGGUUACGAAAAAAUUGAUUUCCCGCUCGCAAGGGAAACCAGAGUCCGCGCGGAAUCACGUGCUACAACAGUUUUGGUAGGCUUUCUUGAUCGGUCAAUAUUCCUUAACCAUCCUAUUCUGUUCAACGCGCAACAGCUGAGCUUUUCCGAGAUUGAGAUUGCCAUAUUUUAAACCACAGAGUCUGUUAAGGGAAAGAUUUUAAUCUGGGCAAAUAGAGUGUACAGAGUAAAAAAUCGGGCGUAUUCUCGGGCGAACCGAGAAUGGAGAUGUUGAAUGUGUGAGGGAUUUGCGAUUUGAU
rnacentral:lncRNA from 1 species